AUUAAAAUCACCUGGGGAGCUUUUUAAAAUCCUGAUGCCCAGGCCUCACACAAAACCAGUUAAAUUGAAAUCUCUGGGAGUAGGACCAGGCAGUAAUUUUAAAAGCUCCUAUGUGAUUACAAU
rnacentral:miRNA from 1 species